AGCGAACGCUGGCGGCAGGCCUAAUACAUGCAAGUCGAGCGGAGAUGAGGUGCUUGCACCUUAUCUUAGCGGCGGACGGGUGGGUAAUGCUUAGGAAUCUGCCUAUUAGUGGGGGACAACAUUCCGAAAGGAAUGCUAAUACCGCAUACGCCCUACGGGGGAAAGCAGGGGAUCUUCGGACCUUGCGCUAAUAGAUGAGCCUAAGUCGGAUUAGCUAGUUGGUGGGGUAAAGGCCUACCAAGGCGACGAUCUGUAGCGGGUCUGAGAGGAUGAUCCGCCACACUGGGACUGAGACACGGCCCAGACUCCUACGGGAGGCAGCAGUGGGGAAUAUUGGACAAUGGGCGGAAGCCUGAUCCAGCCAUGCCGCGUGUGUGAAGAAGGCCUUUUGGUUGUAAAGCACUUUAAGCGAGGAGGAGGCUACCUGGAUUAAUACUCUAGGAUAGUGGACGUUACUCGCAGAAUAAGCACCGGCUAACUCUGUGCCAGCCGCCGCCGUAAGAC
rnacentral:rRNA from 1 species